AACGGAGAGUUUGAUCCUGGCUCAGGAUGAACGCUGGCGGCGUGCUUAACACAUGCAAGUCGAACGAACCUUCGGGUUAGUGGCGGACGGGUGAGUAACGCGUGAGAAUCUGCCCUCAGGAGGGGGAUAACGGUUGGAAACGACCGCUAAUACCCCAUAUGCCGAGAGGUGAAAUGAAUUUCGCCUGAGGAUGAGCUCGCGUCUGAUUAGCUAGUUGGUGUGGUAAAGGCUCACCAAGGCUUCGAUCAGUAGCUGGUCUGAGAGGAUGAUCAGCCACACUGGG
rnacentral:rRNA from 1 species